rnacentral:tRNA from 1 species
GGAGUUGUGGCUCAGUGGUAGAGCACUUGCCCAGCAUGUGUGAGGUCCUGGGUUCGAUUCUCAGCACCCA